AUUUGGUUCGGAAAAACAGAUACGAAUCUUUGAACGGAAGCCGAGUAAAGGCAGUUCAAAGCAAAGGACCUCUCCCUCUGACUCCCUCUGACUAGGAUGGUAGCUAGCUUCACUCCAAAAAGAAAUGUAGUAAAUGUGGGGGCUAAGGUUUCACCGUCGGUAAGAUUGGGCUCGCUGAACCCGUCUCUCCCCCUGAUUGGGAUCUGAAUGGAAGGGUGGGUUAAAAAACCAUGGCCAGCCCCCCUCAAUAAAUAUCGCCAGUAGGUUACUGAUGGGAUGCUAGCUGCCGGUAUACAGGAAAACCGUGGUGCAGAGGACGAGCAAGAAGACUGUGCUAACACAUAUCCCUUCAAUUUCUUGGUUCUACAGAAGAUGUAUGAUAAAGAGCUGGCAUUAAGUCAUCCAACGCGCUCAGGCUUUGUAUUAUAAGAGGAAAGACUCUCACCAGUAUAGAUUGAACGUAUGGCGCUUGCUUACAAGACAGCUACUGAAAAAGGCUACUUCUUCAAUCUGCUGAAUGCCCUAUUCCAUAUGAUGUCUAUCUUUCCCAAGCGUAUACUUUUGUUCUAUAAGCAAAUAAAGCAUACUUCUUUUGCGGAUCAAGCAGUCUUCUACCUUGGUGGGUAGCGGAGAAUCAAAGAAAGGAAUAACGCUAGCUAGCGUCGAUUAACUCACUUAACUAGAUGCGAUGCGCACAACCAAGAGGUAGGCGUGUUGCUCUCAGAGAUUCACUGAGUCUGGGGCUGGGGUCCUCUUUCUGCUCGUGCUGCUUGCUAAUCAAUCUACUAGUGCAAAUCCACCAGGGCUCUACUUUCUUCUAACUCUACAUGAGACAUGAGCAAAUGUGGGUCAGCUUCCUCAACUAUACUCUAACUUAGAUUCUCUAUUUGCGGAAAUCUAUUCCUUUCUUACUCAGGUGGUACUACUUGAUAAGCAACUCUCAUAUCUUUUCUUUCUGAGGGAAGAGUUAAUGAAUGUAAGAAGCUUAUUGCCUUCUGGCUGGAAUAUAGGGAAAGUAAACAUAGGACCACAGAUGAGUACAUAUAGGCAUUGGCAUAGGUACAGUGGAGAUCAUUGAUUGGGGUCAAGUCUACCAGCACUCACCUAGAAUCUGUCAUAUUAGUUUAUGAAGUAAAGAAAGAAUGAGUUAAAGUAGGUGUACUUUUGACAUAUUCACAAAGAGUAUCAACCAAUAGGCGGCUAGGAGUUUGUUGCUUGGGACGACUAUCAUCUAUCUGUCUUAGGUUAUGUAUUCCUUUAGUGAUUGGAAUAGGACGAGGAGUCUAACUAAGGAGUAUAAUGGAAUUGCUUGUCAACCAUAGGCUUCUUCUACGGAGCUUAGGAGAACUAGAAUCUGAGGAAAAGAAGAAAUGUCUAUCCUUGGGGAUAGAGCAAGGUCCUAUAGCGAGACAUUCUUUCUCUUCCAGGACAAGGAAAUCGUAAUGGGUUAGAUAAGUUCCUGCCUCAACAGUCCGGAUUGAAGUCUGGUCAAGAGAAGAGGUUCGGUCAAGGGUGAAGGAGUCGAAUUAGAAUACCAUUGAGUGGAAAAUUCCAUGUCAGAGUUUUUUAAGAAAGCUCUAAGCCCAGUUGAAGCUUAAAGCAAAGAUAGGAUUGGCAUUUCUAAGCUAGAAAAGGCUUUUUUGAAUGUAGGGCGAACCCCCCUCCCCUAGUCAUCGAGGAGGGGAGGUAGCUUAUUGACCAACUGUAUAGGGUAGGCAGGCUGAGUUCCCUUUCGCUUGAUGCAAUGUCAAUUCUAAAUCAAGCAAUUGAUGGAAUCAAAAGAGGGAACGAAAGUAAAUGAGAAAUUACUUUUCACUCGGAAUUCUUUAUUCAUUUGAAAACGAGACUCUCACUCGCCUUUUUCUUUUCUUAUCCCCUAAUCUACUACUUCAAAGCAGUGUUUCUGCAGUGUUCCUAAGACAGAAAGAACUCUGAGCUAUGUCUGGUUUAGUGUCAACUAAUCUUUAACCCUUUGAUGGUAGAGGGGAGUAACUCGCUUUUAGCCCUCUACAACUGAAGUUCUCAUGUACUUAAAUAACAAGAUUGAAUAGGCCACAAGGCCAGAGAAAAGGUAGGUUAAUUGUUCUAGGAUUGGUUGUCUCAUUGACAAGUGAUGGGAGUAUCAGGGUUUCGAUACCCAUGGCAACGUGGAACAAGCGAAAGAAAGAGCCAUGAAAGCCUAAACCUGAACUGCAGAUCCUAGAAGAAAGGUAGCGUAGUCUUGUGGAAAUAUGCCCAUAAGAAUUCCAAGAACAAUCAAAUAAGUAGUGAAUUCCCAUAAGGAAGAGAAGACACCCUAAACUCUAAAGUACUAACUAAACUAGAUAAAGUACUGACUAAACUAGAUAGGCCCUAGCCUUCGCUAGGUUAGGGUUGCGAUUGUGAUAAUCCGGGUCAGUCGAGGCUGGUAAAGUAACUAAGUUGCAAAGAAAACCUCAGAUAGACUAGCUUAGGAAAUGGUGAAGCUUUAGAAUUACCAAUGGAUAAACUGAUAUGGGACUGAAACCGAUUUCAAUAGUUCUGAGGCAUGGGAGAAGUGGAUUCAAUGGGGAUGAUGAUGGCCCGAGAUAAGAAUGGGAAGUUGAUCAAGAUCUUUAAUGGAGAAUUGCUGAUGUAAAGUAUGUCAGAGGUGUUUCAUUGCAGAAGAUGAAUUACCAGUAACGAUAAUAUCAUCAACGUAGAUCAAAAUGUAAAUGUAGGAAAUCCUACCCUGAUUUCAGAAAAAAUAGAGAAGCCUGUAGUUGAGCACCUAUCUGAAUAGGCGUAACAAAGCUACCUGAAAAAGGCAAGGUGUACCUUAAAUUGAAAUCGAAAAAUUGCGUUUUGCCAGAUGGAUCCUUUAGAAAGAUUCCCGGAUAAAGUUCAGUAUAAUAUUUAGUUAGAAUCUAAAUAAAGGCGCAUACGUGGGCGGGCAGGGGGCCCCACUACUUCUUCAUUCAGGGGGGCUAGCCUCAUGACUUCCCACUGGGCGAGGGGUGCACCUAACCCACCUACUCACUCAUCAAUUACGGUGUUCAGCUGACUUGCACAGAAAGACCCCUAUUGUUUAGUAAUUUGGCGCCCCAUCUUUUGAUUGACUGUUGUCAACUAAUCUUUUCAAUGUUCGAUUCUACUCUAUGUUAGAACAUUUCAGUGAAUGCUAUUUCGAUCUAAGUGGUCCUAUUCUGUCGACGAAAGCUAGUCGGCAGUCUACCUUGGGGUAUACCCACGGUAGUAGUUUAUCGGUAGACGGUGCGCAAACUACGAACUUGAUGGUGACGCAAGACACGGACAAGCUUUUUAUCCAGGUUCGGCCGCCGAGUUGGCGUAAUACCUACGUCCUGCGUCUGGUUGUAUUGAUUUGCGCUGAGAGAAUAUGAUGUCCUAGGGGGGUCCCUUGCCCCUCCUUAUGUGGCAGAACCCCCUAAGUGUUUGGGCCCACCGGCACCUGCCAUUGUCCUAAGGACCUCUGACAGUGAUGCCGGGAGUCCUCCCACUUUAGAAGUCCGAUGAGCCUUACUGUGUGCUCAUUCCACUGCUACCUGUGGCGUAUCAAUCUGACUCGUCCUGACCACUCACAAUGGUCAAACAACGAGAACUGUUUCUUCUCGCCCUUACAGGAUAGCAAGUGGCCACCUUAACUCCAGGAUCAUUCGUUGCGAAGAUGAAGCAGUAACUCAUCGACACAAGACCAAAAUAGUAUUUCAGAGUGAAACAGCGGAAGUAUUACAUAACAUAAUUUACAAAAGGAGUUCUUCCAAAUAGCAGAGUGUUAUUACAACCCUGGUCCAACGGAGCAACUUAAACUUUAGUACAGACAAAACAAAUUUACAGACCCUGCCCAUGGGCCACGCUCACUCUUCUUCGUCGUCAACCUCGACGACGGUCACACAACAGGGUCCGAAACAAGUCGGCUCCUGAACUUCACCUGCAACAGGGGUAUUGAAACCCUGAGUACGGGAGUACUCAACAAGACUUAUCCGACGGGAAAAGAGGAGAAUUUAGGGAUGCAGGCUUAGGGUAGACAAGGGGUGGCUGAGCAAGGAGCCAAAUGUUUUGCGGAAAAGCUUACUAGUAGUGCAUCCUUAUUUUCAAGUUUUACCCUGAAUUCCUCCCUCGCAGAGGCAGACGAAUUCGAGGAUAGUCUAACUAGUUGUUUCCCACAGAUGAAUCCGUGAGUUCCUAAUCCUAUCAUUAAGUAUUAUUUAUCGAUGGUCAUAGCUUCAUGUCGCUAUGAGUCCGGGAAUUGGGAUCCGAACCUCAUGAGACAUUUUCCCCUUUCUCAUCUUAUCACUUAGUUGCAUAUUUAACUACGAUGAGGGUCGAAGGAAUUGAGUCUCCCAAUCGGGGAGCAACGACGAUUCGAAUCGCUUAGCAAUCCAGCUGGAGUUCCUAACCACCCGACAUAUGUAGAACCAAAUCUUGCAUAUAUCAACCCAAAUCAAGCUCUCCCCAAAUUUGACCAGGUUCGCGGCACCCGAGAGCACAGUACUCCACCAUCCUACAGCCGAUCUAGAUGUUUCCCGGUCAUCUCAGAUCCGUAAGGUGGGUACACACUACCCUCGCCAUCUUUCCACUCCCAGUGCGCGAGUAGCUGUUCGCGUCGAGGGAUCACAAGACCGGGCUUACCCGUGGCAAGUGGCUAGUACUAUAAAUUCUCAACCCAGCAGGCCAUCAACGGACCGGUCCUUAACCGACACAGUUGGAGACACUACUUUAAGACUCCAUUCUUAAAGCAAGUCCACCGACCGGUCUCAAAUUGAAAUAUCAUUGAUCACAAGUGUAUCCCACAACAACCCUUCAAACUUUCUUGUUUAAAAACCUAUCUAGUAGCAGGGCUAAGCAUCGCUACGCAGUUUUAAAAUAAAACAGGUGUCAAGGACAGGAUAACAGAUAUCAAGGUAGUAAAUGCAGCAAGUAGGUUAACCCAAUUCUCAACUAUCUAAUGCAGCAUUUUCAAUUCAUAUGUGAUAAAAGAUUUAAAACAUCCAAGGAGGGGUUAAUGCAUCCGGGGCUUGCCUUGGUUGCAGGGCAGAGAGGGACCCUCGGAGACUUCCCAAGUCUCGGAUCCGACUUCCUCGAACGGAGCACCGUCCUCGGGGUUCGGUUCAACGGGCGCUCCUUCGGUCACGGACACUAUACGCAAAAUGAUGAAUGCUCAUGAUAUGCGUAUGACACAUAUGCAAGAAGGACUAGAUCGAGCACAGUUUGCCUUCUCGGUGCAAUACAGAAUAAAUUAUAAAUAAAGUUGUUUAACACCUUAGCAUCUUUAUUCAAGAGGUUACAACAGUAAACUAAGACUUUACUUACUUCUCAAUUAUCUUAAAUUAAUUAAUUAUUAACUCUAUUUAUCUUAAUUAAUUCUUAAUUAAUUACUAAUGACAUUAAUUAAGUAUUAGAAUCAGACAAUAAUUAAGUGCCAGGGGUCAUUAGGGUUAAUGACCUCAGGUCAUCACUAAAUUCCAAAAUCACUCAAUCCUAAGUAUGAUGAUUUAACUAAUCACCUUCUAAUUAUUUUGGAAUUAUUAUUUAAGUGCUAAUUAGGGGUUUAUUAAUAUUUUAAUCAAACAUCAUCCAAAUAUCAUCAAAAUUUGUGGGGGGCCAGGGAAUAAUAUUCAGAGGCUCUCCACCAAUUUUGGUGAUUUUUGGACAUACCAUUAAGUUAUUAAAAAUCAUACAAGUUUCAUUUAGUAAUUAAAGGAGCCAAUUUUUAUAUUCUUACAAAGUAUCAGAAACUAGAGCCUAAUAUUUUUCCUGGUUUCUAAGUAUUUCAGGGAGUCUACCCAAAAUUUGCCCUGAUUUUUGGAUCAACACACAAAUUUUUACACAAAUUCAAACUUUCAGCAUGUUUAAACAAAAGGGAAAAAGGAAAAAGGCACUGUGCUACCGGCGGCCCGCUCGGAUCCGGCCCAAGUUGGCCUGCGGUGUCCUCCCGCGCGGACCGCGCGCGCCGCCCCCUCUUCACGCGCUGCGAGACGCUGACAGGCGGGACCCGCUUGUCAGCUCCGCCUUGCUCACUCACGGCGGCGCUGCCGCCGCUCCGGCGACUGUUAUGGAGUUCCCCGGCCCCCGCGCGCGUGCGCACCGGCACCGCGUCAACUUCGCGAUCCCACGGACACCCUCUAAACACGCUCUACUCUCCCGCUACCCCCUUGGUCACGCAAGAGGCGGGCGGCCGCCAUGGCCGACCCUCGGCCGGCCGCUAGAGACCGGUAGAGUGCAAAAGGACGGAACCGGGAGCUUCAGGGAGGGUUAGGGAGUACGGUGCUCACGUCACCACGGCGGGAGAAGCAGUAGGAAGCGCUGGCGUCGUUGGCCGAGGAAUCGGGCGGGUGUUCCGGCUCCGGCAAGGCUGUUCCGGCAAUCCUGUUCGUGUCCCGUGAGAAAAAGUGAGCGCAUGAGCAUCAGGGAAACAAGAGGAGUGCGAAACGAUCACUGGUAAGGCGUGGUACCGAGUGGAGCAACGUACCCACGCGAAGGGUUCCACGGCGGCGAUGCCGGCCGGACUCAGGGAAGAAGAAGAAGCGUUGGCGUUUGAGGGGGUUAGAGAGGGAGCUUGGGGGCGCACUGGAUUCGCAGGAAGGUGACGAAGACACUGGGUGGCUCAAUUUGGCUCGGGAAGGAGUGGUUGUGACGAAUUUGGAAGAGAGAGGUCGUCGGUUUCCUUGGCUCAGGACGGAGGGGAUGCACGGUGUCGUCCACGUCGGUGCGCAAGUGGAGAGGAAGGCGAGCCCGCGGCAUCCACGUCGCCUGGCGACCCUGACAGCAAGCAGCUGCGUGCACGCACGCAUGCGCGCGGCGCUGCUCGCACGGCGGGUGCGCUGGACAGGGCGCCGGUGAUCCAUAUCGGAUCACUGUAGCGACCUCUAUCCCCCCUCCUCUGUCUUUUGCAAAAUUCAGCCGAAAUUUGAACUGGGACCAAAUUUGUGUCAAAACAAAAGUUGUUCCAAAUUUUAUAAGCUACAAAACUUAUUUAGGUGACCCAAGCUGAUUCUAAGUGGGAAGAGGUCAAUUUGGCCAGACAGUUUGAAAAUCAAACUCAAAUUGCUGAAAUUCAAAUUUUUGAAUUGGGGAUAAAUCAGAGAUUCCAAAAUUACUUUUGAUUUUGUAUAACAACUUGAAAAACUCCCAACAUGAAAGUUGUUCAACUUUUUGUGCUCUACAACUUUCAUGUUGACCACUUUUCAAAAUUCCAAAUGGAUUUUGAAUUGGGGGUUUAAGUUGGAAAAGGGGACACUUUCUGGAAAUCUGCAUUUUCAAAAUUACUUUGAAUUUUGUAUUGAAACUUCAAAAACUCAAAACACCAAAGUUGUACAUCUUGCCAAGAUCUACAACUUUGCUUUUGAACUCAACCUCAAAUUUUGCUUAGUUUUUGAAUUGCACAAAAGGGGGCAGUUCUAGGGUUCAAAAUCAGGGUUUUCCCCCCUUAGCCUAUCGGAAAACUUCCACCCUAGGGUUUUAGCAAUCACACAAGCAACAACACAUCACAGAAGCACACUCUACUUCCCUAAGCUCAAGCAUUCAAAAUAAACUUAUUUUAAGUUGAUGCAUACUAAUGUGCUUUAACCAAUAUGAUUUGCAAUGCUCAUGAUGACAUGAUCCAUUUUUAGUAACCGUAACAUCAGGGAUGUUACAGCCCUUCCCCCUUAAAGAAAUCUCGUCCCCGAGAUUUAAAACCUUAGGGUAAGUAAUGGAAAAGGAAAUUUGUCAAAACUCUUUCAUCUUCAGCUUUUCCAUAAGGCAAGGUGUUGGGGAAAAAUACUUCAUUAUAAGCAUAUAUGUACAUUAAGUACAUGGCUCUGGCGACUCUUUUCCUUUACUAGAGUACACUCUUUAUUUAUCACAUGUUCUCCUGAAGAGAAGCAUGAAAUUCCGGAAAAUUCUCUAGCAAGUAAUCUUCAGAUUCCCAGGUGGCUUCUUCUUCAGAGUGCUGGCUCCAUUGUACCUUAUACCAUUUGGUGGUUGUUCUCCGAGUAACUCUAUCUUUUUGAUCCAGUACUCGGAUAGGAUAUUCCGAAUAAGUUAAAUCUGGUUCAAGCUUUACAUCUUCAAUAUCUUGAACUCGGUCUGGUACCCGAAGACACUUUUUCAGUUGAGACACAUGGAACACAUUAUGUAUCCCGGAUAAUCGUUCGGGCAGUUUAAGGCGGUAAGCGACUUGCCCACAUCGGUCAAUAAUUGGAAAUGGACCAAUGUAACGAGGCGCUAACUUGCCUUUAACACCAAAACGAUUUACUCCUUUCAUUGGGGAUACUUUCAAAUACACAUGAUCACCUUUGGCGAACUUUAAUGGUCGACGUCUUUUAUCAGCGUAACUUUUCUGUCGGGACUGAGCAACUUUCAAGUUAUUUUGGAUUUGUUUCACUUUGUUCUCAGUCUCUUUCACUAAGUCAACUCCGAAGAACCAUCUUUCUCCAGGUUCCGACCAGUGUAACGGAGUUCGACAUCGGCGACCAUACAGUGCCUCAAAGGGAGCCAUUUUGAUACUCUCUUGAUAGCUAUUAUUGUAGGAAAAUUCUGCUAGAGGCAAGCAGUCAUCCCACUUAUCUGGAAAAUUCAGGGCACAAGAUCUUAAUAGAUCUUCUAGGGUUUGAUUUACCCUUUCCGUUUGCCCACCAGUUUGAGGGUGGUAGGCUGUGCUGUAUAAAAGCUUAGUACCCAAGGACUCAUGUAAACAUUUCCAGAAUUGGGAGACAAAUUGUGUGCCUCUAUCUGACACUAUUGUCUUGGGCACUCCAUGCAGACUUAGGAUACGGUCAAAAUAAAUCUUAGCAUAGGUGGAGGCAGUAUACAAUAGCUUUACUGGCAGAAAAUGUGCUGUUUUGGUGAGACGAUCUACUAUGACCCAAAUGGAGUCAAAGCCCUUGGCCGUCUUGGGCAAUCCUACUAUAAAAUCCAUACUUAUGUCAUCCCAUUUCCAUGCGGGGAUAGGCAAAGGUUGCAACUCCCCAGCGGAUUUGAGAUGAAUGGCUUUGACUUUUCGACAGGUGUCACACUGGGCCACAUAGCGAGCUAUUUCUAUCUUCAUUUUUGUCCACCAAAACCUUUGCUUCAGGUCCUGAUACAUCUUAUUGCUUCCCGGAUGAAUAGAAUACCUCGUGGUAUGAGCUUCAUCUAGGAUUUGCUGACGUAGCUCAGGUACCUUUGGAACCACUAACCGGUUCUUGAACCAGAUUACUCCCGCCUCAUCCACCUUAAAGUCUGUGAGCGCUCUAUUAGAAAUCUUCUCUUUAAGAUGUCUCAUGCCUUUGUUUUCUUUUUGUGCCUUUAUGAUUUGAGCCUCGAGAUUGAAAUCAAUCUUUAAAUUGGAAAGGCUUCCUUGGGAAAUCAUUUCUAUUCCCAAGUUCUCUAGCUCUUGGCACAGAGUUAUAUCCCUAGGCUUCACUGUUAAGCAAUUACAGUGAGCCUUACGACUGAGGGCAUCCGCUACUACAUUUGCCUUGCCAGGGUGAUAAUGCACCUCAAGGUCGUAAUCUUUAAUUAGUUCUAGCCACCUUCGCUGGCGCAUAUUAAGCUCAGCUUGAGUAAAGAUAUACUUCAAGCUUUUGUGAUCUGUAUAUAGAUGACAUGUGUUUCCCAACAAAUAAUGACGCCAGAUUUUUAAUGCAUGUACCACGGCGGCUAGUUCGAGGUCAUGGGUCGGGUAAUUCUCUUCAUGAGGUUUGAGUUGCCUGGAAGCAUAUGCAAUUACGCGACCCUCCUGCAUCAGCACACAGCCCAACCCGAUUCCUGAUGCAUCACAAUAUACAUCAAAGGGUUUUUCAAUAUCUGGCUGGGCUAAGACAGGUGCAGUUGUCAACAACCUUUUCAGAGUCUGAAAAGCUUGCUCACAUUGAGGUGACCAAACAAAUUUUGUUUGACUUUUGAGCAAGGUUGUGAUUGGUUUGGCGACCCUGGAAAAGUCUGGGAUAAAACGACGGUAAUAUCCCGCCAUGCCCAGAAAACUACGGACCUCAUGUACCGUAGUUGGGGGUUUCCAAUUCAACACAUCUUCGACCUUGCCUGGGUCUACAACGACUCCUUCCGCUGAUAACACAUGACCCAGGAAAUGAACCUUGUCCAGCCAGAACUCACAUUUGCUGAACUUGGCAUAUAGCUGGUGCUCCCUGAGACGGGUCAGCACGAUUCUCAAGUGUUCAGCAUGUUCCUUCUUAGUUUUGGAGUAAAUCAAGAUGUCAUCGAUAAAGACGACCACAAAUUUGUCUAGUUCUGGCAUGAAGACAGAGUUCAUCAAGUACAUAAAAUGGGCCGGUGCGUUAGUCAACCCAAAAGACAUUACCAAGUAUUCAUACAACCCGUAACGGGUCGUGAAAGCAGUCUUGGGCACAUCUUCCGGCCUAAUUUUAAUUUGAUGGUAUCCUGAUCUCAAAUCAAUUUUUGAGAACACUUUGGCCCCAGCUAGCUGGUCAAACAGUAAGUCAAUGCGGGGCAAUGGGUACUUAUUCUUAAUCGUCACCUCAUUUAGAGGACGAUAAUCGACGCACAGCCUUAAGGUCUGAUCUUUCUUCUUCACAAACAGGGCUGGGCAACCCCAUGGAGAAGAACUGGGCUGAAUAAAACCCUUCUGCAACAAUUCUUGUAAUUGGGUUUUUAAUUCGGCCAGCUCUUUCGGUGCCAUUCUGUAGGCCCUUCGAGAUAUUGGGGCCGUUCCCGGUUUCAAUUCUAUACUGAAUUGUACAUCCCGGUCCGGAGGCAGACCUGGUAAAUCUUCAGGAAAUACAUCCGGGAAAUCUCGAACUACCGGGAUAUCUUUAACUUCAGACACCUUAGCGGCAUGAACUUGCCCAAUUGUCCGUUUGGGAGUAACUAGUUGGAUUAGCAAGUAAGAGCUCUCAUUGGGCAAUGGGAUUUUAAUGGUUCGGUGCAAAGUGUCUAGCACAACCCCUCGUUGCGCCAUCCAGUUCAUGCCUAAGAUGACAUCAAUUUCUUGGUCCUUAAGAACAAUCAUGCUAGUAGGAAAAUUGUGCCCACCAAAUUCGAUGGGUACUUGGUGAACCAUUUCUUUAGACAUCAGCCGUCCUCCUGGCGACUGUAUAUAAAAAUGAUCUUGUGUUUCCCCAAUGGGUAUACCAUGCUUUAACACAAAGGUGCGAUUGAUAAAUGUAUGGGAUGCACCGGAAUCAAAGAGCAUUAAAGCAGGAUGCUUGGCAACAGGAAACGUACCCAUCAUCACUGGUUCACCCUCUGGAAUUGUCUCCACUUCAGUAUGGAAGACUUGCCCUGUCUUCUUUACCGGUCUACCUUUCUGUAUCUGUUGCCCUUUUUGAGCCCCAGUCCUAAACUGGCCCGGCUGGGGUUGGCCCAUAGGUGGCCUUUGAAAGGUAGGGUUGGUUUGGCGGGGAAAAGGGCACUCUUUAGAGAAAUGCCCAGGCUUACCACAAUUAAAGCAAGGGUAAUUGUGGCUGGGCAGAGCAGUAGGGCGAACACCCGGGGCGUUCGGCUGACGUGGUGCAAAAGCGAUGGCAGUAGGUCGAGAGUAUACCUGCUGCCCGGGUCUGUACUGUGGAGGGGAGAAAGGACCACGAUAAGGCGACGGCGCUUGGAAACGUCCGUGGCCUUGUGGAUGAUAAAUGACCCUCUGGCGCUUUUGACCGCGACCAGAGAAAGAAGAGGAAGCAGCCUUCUUUUUGGCUUCCUUGUGUUUUCUAUUCUUCUCCUCAGAGGCGAUGGCAAUAUUGACCGCCUCAUAGAAGGUAGCAUUUUGGCAUGUAGUCAUCAUGGUCUGAAGUUUAGUAUUUAGACCACGCAUGAAACAGGCUUUCUUCUUUCUGUCUGUGUUCACAUAAUCCGUGGCAUAUUGAGAAAGAUGAUUGAACCUUGCCACGUAUUCCAUAACACUUUUGUCGCCUUGCUGCAAGGCGAGAAACUCUUCGGCCUUCAUGGCCAUGAGCCCUUCGGGGAUGUAGUGGGCGCGAAAUGCGUCCCUAAACUCAGUCCAGGUAACUUGGUGUCCGGGAGCUUGAAUAGCUAAGAAGUUCUCCCACCAAGCACCUGCAGCUCCCCGAAGCUGCUGGGCUGCAAAUAAGGGUUUCUGAGUUUCCGAACACUGAAUUAAACUGAACUUAUGCUCCAUAGUUCGGAGCCAGUCAUCCGCUUCUAAAGGCUCAUCGGCCUUAGUGAACACUGGGGGCCUGGUCUCGGUGAAAUCCACAUACCGAGUCUCUCCGUCCCCGUUGCGCGGUGCCCUGAAGUUUGAAGCAGGGUGUGUUUGACGCUGGGCUAGCUCGCGCAGCAAGCGAGCAUUGUCAGUUGUGGCACUUAGCAGGACCGCAAUGGCGUCAGCCAAAGAAGGUGGAGCAGGUGGAGGGUUGGGGAUAUCAUCCCCUCCCUGGGAUGUCCCAGCUCCAUCGGAUCCGCGAGUACGCAUCGGCAUCUGUUACAAGAAUCGUAGAUACCUGUUACCACGUAGAAUUCAUAACACAGAACAUACCUCACAUUCACUUAUUAAACAUUAGUUAGAUACACACCAAGAGUAAACAAGUUCAACUUUUCAAACCACAAGAACACUUAUAUUACAAACCCAAACCUCACUACGGUAAACUAAGACCCCUACAACGACGUUGCCCUCGGUUUCACCGAACUAAUCGGUGUGGCCAGAGCUGUAGCCCGGGUCGUCGUUACCAUCAUCUUGAUUACCCCCUGGGUUGUGGUCAUCGGGGUCGGACUCCUCUUCAUCACUGAGGCCUGGAUCGGGUUCUCCAUCGUCCGCCAACUCGCCAUCCGUAUCCAUUUCUCCUUCGCCGGGAGGUGGGUGGAGUUGAUGAUACAGAUCAAAUGCAAUAUCCCGAUAUUGCAUAGCCAGGUCAUUGACUGUAUCUAAGUGAUGUGCCAGCUCCAGUUUCUCCAGCUGGAGCUGGUCCUCUCGUUGCCACGCAACAUCCCGUUGUGCGGUGACCGUGGCCGCCAUCUUCACAUACAAAUCCUUGAGAUACUUUGCCUUGCCCAACUUUGCGCUCAUCCUAGUUAGCUCAUGCCUAUGGGUGCUCCUAGCUUCUUCCUCUCGGGCAAUGGCUGCGUUCCGCUCCUCCACCAUCCGGGACAACAUAGCUUCACAGUUUUCCGUAGCUUGUUUUUCUUUGGCCAGUUGAGCUUUGAGUUUGCCAAUCUCCAUAACAUUGUACAUUCUCUCUCUCAUCACCUCAGUCAACUCGGCGGACAGCCUGUCCACCUCCUGCUGAGGCGGUGUGCGGCUACUACUGGCUUGAUCACUACGUGGAGCUAGCUGAUGUCGAGGAACUCCUUUUGGACCUGUCCGCUUACGCGGGGUCUGCUUCUGACGAGCCAUCCUGUAGAGGGUAAGUUUAGAUUAGUAAGAGAGACCUUAAAGGUUAGCAAGAAUAGGAUUGAUUCUAUUCACCCACCCCGAACAAGGAGGAAGGAACUUAACCAGUUAAUACAUCAUGAUGCAUGCACGAACUUACGAUUCCUACUAACAAAUCGAAACGAUAUUACUUUAAACUUUUACAACCUCGGGCAAUACUUUAGGUUGCUCCUCCAGACCACUUAAAUAAAAUUCUAAGAAAGCCUAUAGACAGGGGUAGGUUAGGACUAAGCACUUGGACUCAAAAUAGGCAGGUUCAUAGUAUUAGUUUCAAACGAAUUUUUGAAGUUUUUCAAAAGGUUCAGCAGUCAUCUUAGCAACGAAUGCUCUGAUACCAGCUGUGGCAGAACCCCCUAAGUGUUUGGGCCCACCGGCACCUGCCAUUGUCCUAAGGACCUCUGACGGUGAUGCCGGGAGUCCUCCCACUUUAGAAGUCCGAUGAGCCUUACUGUGUGCUCAUUCCACUGCUACCUGUGGCGUAUCGAUCGGACUCGUCCUGACCACUCACAAUGGUCAAACAACGAGAACUGUUUCUUCUCGCCCUUACAGGAUAGCAAGUGGCCACCUUAACUCCAGGAUCAUUCGUUGCGAAGAUAAAGCAGUAACUCAUCGACACAAGACCAAAAUAGUAUUUCAGAGUGAAACAGCGGAAGUAUUACAUAACAUAAUUUACAAAAGGAGUUCUUCCAAAUAGCAGAGUGUUAUUACAACCCUGGUCCAACGGAGCAACUUAAACUUUAGUACAGACAAAACAAAUUUACAGACCCUGCCCAUGGGCCACGCUCACUCUUCUUCGUCGUCAACCUCGACGACGGUCACACAACAGGGUCCGAAACAAGUCGGCUCCUGAGCUUCACCUGCAACAGGGGUAUUGAAACCCUGAGUACGGGAGUACUCAACAAGACUUAUCCGACGGGAAAAGAGGAGAAUUUAGGGGUGCAGGUUUAGGGUAGACAAGGGGUGGCUGAGCAAGGAGCCAAAUGUUUUGCGGAAAAGCUUACUAGUAGUGCAUCCUUAUUUUCAAGUUUUACCCUGAAUUCCUCCCUCGCAGAGGCAGACGAAUUCGAGGAUAGUCUAACUAGUUGUUUCCCACAGAUGAAUCCGUGAGUUCCUAAUCCUAUCAUUAAGUGUUAUUUAUUGAUGGUCAUAGCUUCAUGUCGCUAUGAGUCCGGGAAUUGGGAUCCGAACCUCAUGAGACAUUUUCCCCUUUCUCAUUAUAUCACUUAGUUGCAUAUUUAACUACGCUGAGGGUCGAAGGAAUUGAGUCUCCCAAUCGGGGAGCAACGACGAUUCGAAUCGCUUAGCAAUCCAGCUGGAGUUCCUAACCACCCGACAUAUGUAGAACCAAAUCUUGCAUAUAUCAACCCAAAUCAAGCUCUCCCCAAAUUUGACCAGGUUCGCGGCACCCGAGAGCACAGUACUCCACCAUCCUACAGCCGAUCUAGAUGUUUCCCGGUCAUCUCAGAUCCGUAAGGUGGGCACACGUUACUCUCGCCAUCUUUCCACUCCCAGUGCGCGAGUAGCUGUUCGCGUCGAGGGAUCACAAGACCGGGCUUACCGAGGGCAAGUGGCUAGUACUACAAAUUCUCAACCCAGCAGGCCAUCAACGGAACGGUCCUUAAUCAACACAGUCGGAGACACUACUUUAAGACUCCAUUCUUAAAGCAAGUCCACUGACCGGUUUCAAAUUGCAACAUCAUUGAUCACAAGUGUAUCCCACAACAACCCUUCAAACUUUCUUGUUUAAAAACCUAUCUAGUAGCAGGGCUAAGCAUCGCUACGCAGUUUUAAAAUAAAACAGGUGUCAAGGACAGGAUAACAGAUAUCAAGGUAGUAAAUGCAGCAAGUAGGUUAACCCAAUUCUCAACUAUCUAAUGCAGCAUUUUCAAUUCAUAUGUGAUAAAAGAUUUAAAACAUCCAAGGAGGGGUUAAUGCAUCCGGGGCUUGCCUUGGUUGCAGGGCAGAGAGGGACCCUCGGAGACUUCCCAAGUCUCGGAUCCGACUUCCUCGAAUGGAGCACCGACCUCGGGGUUCGGUUCAACGGGCGCUCCUUCGGUCACGGACACUAUACGCAAAAUGAUGAAUGCUCAUGAUAUGCGUAUGACACAUAUGCAAGAAGGACUAGAUCGAGCACAGUUUGCCUUCUCGGUGCAAUACAGAAUAAAUUAUAAAUAAAGUUGUUUAACACCUUAGCAUCUUUAUUCAAGAGGUUACAACAGUAAACUAAGACUUUACUUACUUCUCAAUUAUCUUAAAUUAAUUAAUUAUUAACUCUAUUUAUCUUAAUUAAUUCUUAAUUAAUUACUAAUGACAUUAAUUAAGUAUUAGAAUCAGACAAUAAUUAAGUGCCAGGGGUCAUUAGGGUUAAUGACCUCAGGUCAUCACUAAAUUCCAAAAUCACUCAAUCCUGAGUAUGAUGAUUUAACUAAUCACCUUCUAAUUAUUUUGGAAUUAUUAUUUAAGUGCUAAUUAGGGGUUUAUUAAUAUUUUAAUCAAACAUCAUCCAAAUAUCAUCAAAAUUUGUGGGGGGCCAGGGAAUAAUAUUCAGAGGCUCUCCACCAAUUUUGGUGAUUUUUGGACAUACCAUUAAGUUAUUAAAAAUCAUACAAGUUUCAUUUAGUAAUUAAAGGAGCCAAUUUUUAUAUUCUUACAAAGUAUCAGAAACUAGAGCCUAAUAUUUUUCCUGGUUUCUAAGUAUUUCAGGGAGUCUACCCAAAAUUUGCCCUGAUUUUUGGAUCAACACACAAAUUUUUACACAAAUUCAAACUUUCAGCAUGUUUAAACAAAAGGGAAAAAGGAAAAAGGCACUGUGCUACCGGCGGCCCGCUCGGAUCCGGCCCAAGUUGGCCUGCGGUGUCCUCCCGCGCGGACCGCGCGCGCCGCCCCCUCUUCACGCGCUGCGAGACGCUGACAGGCGGAACCCGCUUGUCAGCUCCGCCUUGCUCACUCACGGCGGCGCUGCCGCCGCUCCGGCGACUGUUAUGGAGUUCCCCGGCCCCCGCGCGCGUGCGCACCGGCACCGCGUCAACUUCGCGAUCCCACGGACACCCUCUAAACACGCUCUACUCUCCCGCUACCCCCUUGGUCACGCAAGAGGCGGGCGGCCGCCAUGGCCGACCCUCGGCCGGCCGCUAGAGACCGGUAGAGUGCAAAAGGACGGAACCGGGAGCUUCAGGGAGGGUUAGGGAGUACGGUGCUCACGUCACCACGGCGGGAGAAGCAGUAGGAAGCGCUGGCGUCGUUGGCCGAGGAAUCGGGCGGGUGCUCCGGCUCCGGCAAGGCUGUUCCGGCAAUCCUGUUCGUGUCCCGUGAGAAAAAGUGAGCGCAUGAGCAUCAGGGAAACAAGAGGAGUGCGAAACGAUCACUGGUAAGGCGUGGUACCGAGUGGAGCAAUGUACCCACGCGAAGGGUUCCACGGCGGCGAUGCCGGCCGGACUCAGGGAAGAAGAAGAAGCGUUGGCGUUUGAGGGAGUUAGAGAGGGAGCUUGGGGGCGCACUGGAUUCGCAGGAAGGUGACGAAGACACUGGGUGGCUCAAUUUGGCUCGGGAAGGAGUGGUUGUGACGAAUUUGGAAGAGAGAGGUCGUCGGUUUCCUUGGCUCAGGACGGAGGGGAUGCACGGUGUCGUCCACGUCGGUGCGCAAGUGGAGAGGAAGGCGAGCCCGCGGCAUCCACGUCGCCUGGCGACCCUGACAGCAAGCAGCUGCGUGCACGCACGCAUGCGCGCGGCGCUGCUCGCACGGCGGGUGCGCUGGACAGGGCGCCGGUGAUCCAUAUCGGAUCACUGUAGCGACCUCUAUCCCCCCUCCUCUGUCUUUUGCAAAAUUCAGCCGAAAUUUGAACUGGGACCAAAUUUGUGUCAAAACAAAAGUUGUUCCAAAUUUUAUAAGCUACAAAACUUAUUUAGGUGACCCAAGCUGAUUCUAAGUGGGAAGAGGUCAAUUUGGCCAGACAGUUUGAAAAUCAAACUCAAAUUGCUGAAAUUCAAAUUUUUGAAUUGGGGAUAAAUCAGAGAUUCCAAAAUUACUUUUGAUUUUGUAUAACAACUUGAAAAACUCCCAACAUGAAAGUUGUUCAACUUUUUGUGCUCUACAACUUUCAUGUUGACCACUUUUCAAAAUUCCAAAUGGAUUUUGAAUUGGGGGUUUAAGUUGGAAAAGGGGACACUUUCUGGAAAUCUGCAUUUUCAAAAUUACUUUGAAUUUUGUAUUGAAACUUCAAAAACUCAAAACACCAAAGUUGUACAUCUUGCCAAGAUCUACAACUUUGCUUUUGAACUCAACCUCAAAUUUUGCUUAAUUUUUGAAUUGCACAAAAGGGGGCAGUUCUAGGGUUCAAAAUCAGGGUUUUCCCCCCCUUAGCCUAUCGGAAAACUUCCACCCUAGGGUUUUAGCAAUCACACAAGCAACAACACAUCACAGAAGCACACUCUACUUCCCUAAGCUCAAGCAUUCAAAAUAAACUUAUUUUAAGUUGAUGCAUACUAAUGUGCUUUAACCAAUAUGAUUUGCAAUGCUCAUGAUGACAUGAUCCAUUUUUAGUAACCGUAACAUCAGGGAUGUUACACCUUAUAUAGUCUGGAGGGCAGGGUUACAGAUCUAGAAACUAAUCCUAGUCGGUUACAAUUGCCAUAGAUAAUUCGAUAUCAAUUCCUAUUCCAACCGACUAGAAUCCUGCUUGAUCUCCACGUCUUGUUUCCUUGCGCGAAACUCCGAGCUGUCGGAUCAAGCCUUGAACUCGUCUCGUAGUGAGCCAAGCUUCCUGGCUGAAGUCUAGCCGUAAGGGUAUAGGGGUUUAUACCCCCACAGCUAGUCCCCGAGCACCACGUAUUGUGAUGCAACACGCCGUCUUGAGCUUCUUCGAUCAGCGAGGCUUGUCAUCUUCAAUAAGCGGGAAAAUCGCCCAAACAGUUGCAACGGUUCCUUGACCAACUCGAAAGACAGUUGAUCAACAUUGACAUCGAAGAAGCAGGUUGUUCGAAGAAUGCAUGGUGCUCUAAAAAAAAAAUUUCUUUCCUGGUGAAGUGUGCCCACUUUGCCUUUUUGAAAGGUAGAAUCAUCAAAAAACCAAGCAAAUUCACCGCUAGGUGAAGUGUGCCCACUUAGUCCCCGAGCCUGGUAGUAGGUGGCGUAGGCACGUGGUGCCAGGGUCAAAAGAAAAUUCCCCAAAGUAGUUUUGAGACUGAGAUGCAUCGCUAGAUGCAUCGUACCGAUGUAGUCCCCGAGCUUGCUGGAAGGCGAAGCAUGAGCCUUGUAGCAAGGUCUAAAAAAUUGAAUUUACCAGUCCCCGAGCAUGUCAUGCUCGUCUGCAAUUGAAAAGACCAAUCGACCAGUCCCCAAGCACUUAGUGUGCUUCUUGGAAUUAUAUGUUGCUAUAUUGUACGACCAGUCCCCGAGCAUCGAGUGCUCAGUGGUCGGUGCAUGCUUUAAAGCUUUGAGCCGAUAGACUGAGCGACCAGUCCCCGAGCGUCGAGUGCUCGGUGGUCGGUGCAGUCCUUGAAGUUCUGAGUUGGUAGACUGGGCAACCAGUCCCCGAGCGUCGAGUGCUCGGUGGUCGGUGCAGUCCUUGAAGUUCCGAGCUGAUAGACUGGGCGACCAGUCCCCGAGCGUCGAGUGCUCGGUGGUCGGUGCAAUCCUUGAAGUUCCGAGCUGAUAGACUGGGCGACCAGUCCCCGAGCGUCGAGUGCUCGGUGGUCGGUGCAGUCCUUGAAGUUCCGAGCUGAUAGACUGGGCGACCAGUCCCCGAGCGUCGAGUGCUCGGUGGUCAGUGUAGUCCCCGGAUUGUUGACUCACCGGCGUAUGUAUCUUCUUACUUUUGAAAAAGAUCUUUCCAAUUAAAGUUGACGUGACGGGGUCUCCUGACGAUAUGUCAGACGGAUGCAUGAAAAGUUGCACCUGGCAACUGUACAACCUCUCUUUGCAUGGUUUGAGAAAAGGAAACCAUCAAUUGGUACGAAAACUCCGCCGCAUUAAUUGUCUAUAAUCAUUGUAAACCAAAACGCCGCGUCCGCCGCAUGGCCUGCCCACUUCCCGAGAAUACAGGAAGUGGGAGAGGUGGGGUCGCAGGUUUAUAAGGGCCUAAUAGGUCUGCCUGUACUGCUUCGCCUGCCAUUGCCUUCAAACCUUCCGCUCUCAUCUUCUCCAAUCUCCUGCAUCUUCCUAACUCCAGCCCACAUUCGCACCUCUAAUGGCGAAGAGCGACUCCAGGAAGAGGGCCGAACUGAUGGCCAAGGAGUGGAAGAAGUCUCGCAGCACCACAAAAUCUCUUGGUGACCUCGUCGAUAUGGGGCUUCUGCACGGCGCAGAGCUCGGCGGCUGGAGGGCACCGGAGGGGGAGAGCUACCCCGACCCUCGCGCCGGUGAGAUCGUCGUUUUUGAAGAUUUCGUUAAGAGAGGCUUUGGCGUUCCUGUUCAUCCUUUUCUUCAAGGUCUUCUUUUGUACUAUGAGAUCGGGAUUUGCAAUCUGCACCCGAACUCAAUUCUCCUUAUUUCCACCUUCAUCCACCUGUGCGAGGCCUAUGUUGGCAUAGAGCCGCACUUCGAUCUUUUCCGUUAUCUUUUCUGCUUGAGGAAGAAGGGAGCAGUUGGAGGCUCCAAGGUUGCAGGUGGAGUAUACCUCAACCUUCGUGAUGGGAUGAAGAAUCGCUACCUGCACUGCCCAUGGAACACUUCCUUGACCGAAUGGUACAGGAAGUGGUUCUACAUCAGGGAGGAACCGGGCAGCUCCACGUUCUGCGACGUGGGAUACGUUCCCGAGAAGAGGGCGAGCUGGACCGACCGUCCGGAGUUCGACGGUCCAGUGGCGGAUCUCAUGAAGCUGAUCGACUGGUCGCGCCUAGACGGGCUUGGCGUGGUCGGCAACUUCAUUUGCCGCCGGGUGAUGCCCUGCCAGAAGAGGGUGCACUCGGCGUACGAGUAUGCCGGAAGCGCAGACCCGACCAGGAUGCGGUCGGAGAUCUUGGAGAAAGCGGAGGUACAACAGCUGUUGAACGAGCUGUUUAACUUCGCGGAUGGGGGCUUCAUCCGUGGCAGUGAUCGGGUGCAAGCCUUCAAGUUAGGACGACCAGCACCAAAGGUAUGUAGCAGAGUCUGUUUGAUCAUUCGUAUAUAUCGUCUGCAGUUAACUCAUCUCUGUUGCUUUUGCAGGUCGGUGAUGUCGACCGGUGCGCAGUGUAUGUAUCACUGGCACCGGGGAUGGAAGAUCCUGUGGGAGAGGUCCCGCCAGAGGAGGACGCUGCUCGGUGUACUCAUUACACCAGCAGUGAGGAAGACCGAGCCUGCCCCGUCCCGACCUCCGAGGAGAGGGUAGCGGGGGAAAGGCCAUUGCCGGCAGAUCCCUUGCCGACACCGGAGCUGCCGGCGGAUCUACCGGCGGAGAGCAGCCAAGCACCGAAGUGUCGUCGGCUCGUGCGGAUCGUCGACGACGACGACGACGAGGACGCUGCGCCGUCGUUGGUCCGACGGCCUCGGAGCCGCCCAGACACUGCGCCGGUCGCCACUGAUCGAGUGGCCAGCGGCGCAGCUGCCCCGCAAGUUGUCGAGACGGGGGCACAGGUGCCGACCGGCCGGGCGAGGAGGAGGUUCACCGCGACCCACCGUCGGUCAGACCUGUAAGUGUUCGACUUACGUAUUUUGGACUCCUCUCUUUUUUUUAACUUUUGUUCCUGUAGUGCGGCAUCGGAUGUCGACCCUGGUCAAACUGCCAGUCAGGGAACGGGCGAGCCUGCCCGCGGUUCUGGGGAUGCGGCCCCCCAGACCACAGAGCAGCCAACAGCUGCAGUCGCGCCUGGGAGCACCGAGGGGCUCCCGAGCGCGGCGCCGACUACAACAAGCAGCCCGACCAGGGCUGGAGAGGCUUCCCCAACUGACUCCUCGGAGAAGGGAAGAUCUCCGACCGCUCCUCCUGCCGAGGGGAGUGAAGUCCCCCCACCGCCCCGAGCAGGGGGCUCUUCGGCUGCGGGCUCCCCGGGUCUGGUCCAAGGGCCAGUAAUGCCUGGGGCCACCACCGGGGGUGACGCAGCACAGGAGGAGGAAACCCGGGCGGCCUCCGAUGACGAGGUGGAGGAGAUCGAGGGUCGUCCCCGUGAUGGCCGCCAACACGUGUAUGUGUGGCGCCAACGCGGGGAUCACUUUAUCGGUCAUGAGGAGCUCGCCGAGACCGAAGAGGCCGCCAGGGUGGAGCGCGCGGCCAAGCGCCUUGUCGACGAAGUCAAGGUAAGCGGCUUUUUGUACUGCUGCGCAUUCUUUUGCCUUGUCUUGCUUGAUCGUUAUAUGCUUGCUUUGUAGGACGUAAUGAAAACGGCGAAGUACCGGAAACGGUGCUUUGACCAGAUAGAAGGCGUCAUGGCCGAGAACAAGGCCCUUGCCGCGGAGGUAGACCGGUUGCGGGCGGAGGUCGGGGAGAAGGUGGUCGAGAUGAGUGCCGAAAAGGAGCGUCGUCUCGACCUCGCUCGUCGUCUGGCCGACCAGUACCGGCUGCAGGAAGGUUAGUCACACGCUCCGAGCAGUUUCGCGUACUUGUAUAGUUUGCUUUGCUGACCAGUUUAGGAUUCACACAGACUUGGAGGAGGAGGUGGCGAGCCUCCAACAAGAGAAGGAGCAGCUCAGCCAACAGCUCGCCGGUGCGCAGGAGUCCGGGCGGCGGGCAGAAGAGGAAUUGGGUCGAAAAGACCGGGAGUUAGCUGGUAAUGGGUGCCGCCUUGUUGAUUGCUGCCUGCCCCUUUGCUUGUCUGAUAUGCCAAAAGUAACGUUUCGUUUCGUUUGCAGUGCUCAAGGUGAACACCAAAAAGAACCUGGAUGACCUGA
rnacentral:lncRNA from 1 species